CAGACCUAAACUCCAAUGCCAACCAUGCCAUCUGCUGAUUAUAAGACAGUGGAACAGAGUGCAUACAGAAAGAGCUCAGAAGUGAAAGAUGCGCAGAGUGCCCACAGUGGCAGCAACUAGCUGAGGGGCCUUCAGAUCGCAGCCUUCCGGACCACCGUUAUAACAGCAGGAUAGCAGAUGUAAUGCCUAGAGCUUGAGGAGACAUCUUGCACCACAGUGUGGAAACCAUGCACUAGGACAAAGGGACAGCAAAAGAGAAGGGUUCUGGGUCCCUGAUGACUCGUGAAACCUCUACCAGCUUUAG
rnacentral:lncRNA from 10 species